GAUCACCAGCUACAUCAUGCGCUGCGUUUUGAUAGGUUGGUGGAGACCUUUUGUCGUCACUGUCGACGUAUCGUCUCCUUCCUCUCCCGAUAUCAGAGAAACCGAACAAUCGGAUUUAAUCCUCUCAUUAAUCGAUCAACCACGAUGUAGAAUCAAUGCGGGAUUUAAUUGCAUAUAGCGAUGGAGACGACUAUAAGAAGUCCGGCCGAUCCUCCUCCACCGUCGAAGUGCGCUUGCUCUGCUUCUGGGAGACGAAAAACGUCCGCCGUGGUGGAGAGCUCAUGGGCAUCUGACAUGUUUUUGGUUGAUUUUCAGGUUAUAUAUUAAAACCGCCUUCUCAUAAAGACAUGGGAUUGCAUACUUAACUUUGGUCUAUAUGACUGAAGGCUAAGAAGACCAGAAGAAUUGUGUCAGGUGCAAGUCAACUGCAAAGUCAUGAAAAUUGAGCUAUUGAUGGGCCAUUUUACAAUGAAGAUCCAUGUCCCAGCUUCCCCUGUUUUGUUUGUCUGUUGGUAUUUUCUGUAGUGAAAGUCCUCAUCCUUUGUCAGGGAACUGUUAAAUCGGCACAAAGCAAUUUUGGGCUUUAAUUCUUGCAUAUACCUUUUACUCCUCUCUAUCUAAUCUAAGAUCAUAUGGAUUUACUAAUGAGUAUACCUAUAAUAUUUGUCUCAGUUUCAGGCUGCAGUUGUGGUAGAAGAGAUGAUUAAGACAGAGUGCUUGAAAAAUGAGCUGUGGUACUGUUCUUCUCUUUCGACAGCUGUUAAAAUGCUCUAUGUACAAUAAAACCAUAACUCAAUCAGAUCGUAUGGAUGAGACAAAGCCAAUCGACUUACCAGAACAGAAGUCACAACCAGUUUCGGAUCCACAAGAACAAAGCAUCAGAGGAAAGUACAGGAAACACAGUAGAAAAGCUUCAGGGCGCAAGGCGCAAAAACGGAGGCUUCUUUAUCAAAGUAGAGUUUAUGUGUAGCAGUGUAGAUAUAUGUAAUAUUGUAAUUCUUCAACCCGGAAGCGGAGCUGUGAUGAGCCGAGAGAAUAUGUGUACAGAUACAUAUAUGAGACGACUAACUAUUGUGGAGUAAAUAAAUAUUUAAACAA